CUGCCCUUCAGUGGGGAAUAACACUCCGAAAGGAGUGCUAAUGCCGCAUGUCACAGCGAAGCCUCCGGGCUGCGUUGGAAAGGGGACGCCCGCAAGGGGUUCUCGCUGGAGGAUGAGUCCGCGGCCCAUCAGCUUGUUGGCGGGGUAAUGGCCCACCAAGGCGAAGACGGGUAGCUGGUCUGAGAGGAUGACCAGCCACACUGGGACUGAGACACGGCCCAG
rnacentral:rRNA from 1 species